rnacentral:lncRNA from 1 species
CCCGCCAUAGACAGCCUAAGACAAGACGUUGCACGUGAUUCAAAGCAUAGUACCUAACCAAUUGAGACAUGGAAUACGUUGCACGUAAAAAAAUAUAGUACCUAACCAACUGACCAGUCCCAAAUUGCGAUGUGCGUUUUUGAAUAAAGAUUUUAUUGUGCACUGUUGUCUUAUCUUUUCAAAUAAAAUGUAAACCCCAAAACCCCUCCCCCUUUAAACCUAAGAAUA